rnacentral:sRNA from 1 species
GUAUCAACUAAAAAUACAUAAACAAUUUUCUUUCUUAUAGCUAAUAAAAAUAAAGUUUGUACAAAUAUAAAAUCGUGUUCCAGAAUACAUAAAUAAGAAUACAAUUAGUAACAUUCAAAGGAUGCCACAGUAAAGUCUUUAAGAAUAGAGAUUGAAACACCAGACUUCUAGGAACAUGCUGAAUGUCAGUCUAUCACAUGCAAUACCUCACACAUAAAGAGUGUAGCCCUAAUCAUCAUCUUUUUUUUUAAAUUAUAUUGAUCAAACUCAAAGUAUAAAUUAGGCUGUAAUUGCAAAACAUUACCAACAUUGAAUUAGAGAAAAGAUGUUUGUGAUUCCCCCACUCUGUUAAAAUGGUUUCAGCCAUCGAUAGUUUCAAAUGCUUAAUUAAUAUGGUAGUUCUUUUAUCUAACAUAUUUUUGGUUUAAUAUGCUUAAUUAUAUAUAUUUCAGAAAAAGUAAUUCUAAAUAAGAAACUAGUAUUUAUCCUGACACAUAGCUUAUCAUUUCCCUGAACUCGUAAUUUUCUUUAUUAAUUUAUAUAAAGUUCAGAAUCACAAGUCAGUCUUUAUGCCCAUUUUAAGCUCUGUCCAGAGUUUAUAAGUCAUUGUUUACCUAUAUUUACAUUAACAAACUAAGCUAAACAUCACUAAAAAAUACUUUAAGUGUUUUCUUAAAUAGAUCAUGUUAUCAUACAGGUAAAUAAGGAAAACUUUAAUAUUUUUUCUAUCUACAAAAUUAAGAAAUUAGAAUUUUAUAGACAUACAAUUAUAAUGUGUUCAACACUUUUUUGUUUGUUUGUUUUUCCUACUAUUUGAAACAAUUCAUUUUGAAAUCACAUUUUAUUCUCAUAUGAUUUUCAUUUCAGUUAUACCAACGCAGGAAAGUGAAAUAAUGGGGUCUGACUGGAAAAAAUAAUAAACUAAGAAAUAAAAAUUAAAAAAAACAACAACAUUAGUUAAGUUAUUGGCCAGGGAGAGUGUGUGGUUCAAUAUAUUUUCUUUGUUGAAGAAGUAGAGGAGAAGAAAUCAAAGACACAUGCUACUAGUGACUCUGUUUAUAACCAGGAAACAUUUAUAAUGCAUAUCAUAGACAUGUGCCAGUUAAGAUUUUGUUUUCAGAACAAUUCAUUCUGAUUUUCAAACCAAUGCUAUAAGAAAAAUAACAUGGAUUAUUUGACAUAAUGCACAAUACACAGUAGCCCAUCCCAAGAAGAUUAAGUAGCAGGCCAUGUGAUCUCAUUGUUUUCUUAACAAAAAAAAUUUGGCUACUCAUAUCAAAUCAGGAUGAUUCAGCCAGACAAGGAGUGUAGGGUCUAUGAAACAUUUCUACAAACAAUGAUGCACUAUUAAAUAGGGAAUCAAAUGAAUGAAAAACUACCCAAAAAAAAAAGGGAGAGGGGGGAUAAAGACAAUGUGAUGAAUGGUUUGGCAGAAGUGACCUUCACUUAUACACACUCAAAAUGUCCCAAAGAACAGGUACAUAGCCAAAAGAAACAAAAAAAUUGGGAGUAACAAAACUGAAGUGUAAGCAGUCUUUAAUGACUCAUAAAGAUUAUAUAUUGUAUAAAACAUUU